UACGAAGGGGGCUAGCGUUGUUCGGAAUUACUGGGCGUAAAGCGCGUGUAGGCGGGUCUUUAAGUCAGGGGUGAAAUGCCAAGGCUCAACCUUGGAACUGCCUUUGAUACUGGAGACCUUGAGUCCGGGAGAGGUGAGUGGAAUUGCGAGUGUAGAGGUGAAAUUCGUAGAUAUUCGCAAGAACACCAGUGGCGAAGGCGGCUCACUGGCCCGGAACUGACGCUGAGACGCGAAAGCGUGGGGAGCGAACAGG
rnacentral:rRNA from 1 species